AUUGUACUCCUUCCGUCCGAAAAUACUUGUCAUCAAAAUGGAUAAAAAAAGAUGUAUCUAGAACUAAAAUAUGUCUAGAUACAUCCCCUUUUAUUCAUCUUGAUGACAAGUAUUUUCAGACGGAGGCAUCAAAUU
rfam:Triticum aestivum genome assembly, contig: Triticum_aestivum_CS42_TGACv1_scaffold_404764_5BL